rnacentral:rRNA from 1 species
CCUACGGGAGGCAGCAGUGAGGAAUAUUGGUCAAUGGGCGCGAGCCUGAACCAUCCAAGUCGCGUUAGGGAGGACGGCCCUACGGGUUGUAAACCUCUUUUGCCGGGGCGCAACGGGCGCCACGUGUGGCGCCACUGAGAGUACCCGGAGAAAAAGCAUCGGCUAACUCCGUGCCAGCAGCCGCGGUAAUACGGAGGAUGCGAGCUUUAUCCGGAUUUAUUUGGUUUAAAGGGUGCGUAGGCGGAUCGUUAAGUCAGUGGUCAACGUGAGGGGCUCAACCCCUUCCCGCCAUUGAAACUGGCGUUCUGGAGUGGAAGAGAAGUAUGCGGAAUGCGUGGUGUAGCGGUGAAAUGCAUAGAGAUCACGCAGAACCCCGAUUGCGAAGGCAGCAUGCCGGCUUCCGACUGACGCUGAAGCACGAAAGCGUGGGGAUCGAACAGGAUUAGAUACCCCUGUAGUC